UACAGAGGGUGCAAGCGUUAAUCGGAUUUACUGGGCGUAAAGGGCGCGUAGGUGGUAAAGCAAGUAAGAUGUGAAAGCCCUGGGCUUAACCUGGGAAGUGCAUCUUAAACUGCUUAACUAGAGUAUGGUAGAGGGUAGUGGAAUUUCCGGUGUAGCGGUGAAAUGCGUAGAGAUCGGAAGGAACGCCAGUGGUGAAGACGACUACCUGGGCCAAUACUGACACUGAGGCGCGAAAGCGUGGGGAUCAAACAGG
rnacentral:rRNA from 1 species